CGCACAGUAUGGCACCAGCUUCCCGCCGUAGUUCAGGUAGAGCUACCAGCCAGGGAAGUCACAGGGUAUUUCAGGUUUCAUUGACGGUCCGGAUUCAUUUCUAGUUUAAUUACAAUAUUUCACUUUGUUUUCCCUUUUUCUACGGUGCUGUGUAUUUAAUUAGUUCCCUGAUUUGUUCCGAGUCCACAUUGCUUUUUGGGUCGUCAUUGAAUUUACGUUUUGGAGAAUGAAAGUUUUUAUCCAUUGAGUUAACACAUGUUUUUUUUUUUUUUUUGCGCAGUUAUUUUUAAGACUGAAAAGCCCCGUGACUUUACCUAUCUUCUUGCCAUACUGUGUUGCAGGUAAUGCUCCUUUCCUUUUGAUUGUACUGUAUAUAGUUUUUCGUGUCGUUUUUCAUUUGGCUAUUAGUGUGGCUGGCGUGUACCCGCGCGGUUCGUCGCGUCCGCCAUUAUUGUGCAUUGUGCAGCCGUUCUGCUGCGUGUGAUGCGUUCAGCGGCAUCACGUCUAUACCAUUGGAAGUGUGUUUUUUUUCCUUUUCUUUGUAAAUAGUUAAUAUGCGAUCACCUAUGUUGUGUAUUUUGUUUUGUUGUGCAUUUAGUUUUCUUAUGGAUGAUGUUUAGUUCAGGGAGAGCUACCAGGGAAGUCACAGGUUAUUUUUGAGACUGAAAAGCCCCGUGACUUUACCUAUCUUCUUGCCAUACUGUGUUGCAGGCAAUAAAAAAAAAGAGAGAAAAGCCA